GGACGAACGCUGGCGGUGCGCCUUAUGCAUGCAAGUUGAGCGAAGCUUUUUGGUAGUUUACUACUAGAAAUGACUGAGCGGCGAACGGGUGAGUAACGCGUGAGCAAUCUACCUUAGUUACUGGGAUAGCCCGAGGAAACUCGGAUUAAUACCAGAUAUUCUUAUUUUUUCACAUGAAGUUUUAAGGAAAGGUCAGCCGAACUAAGAUGAGCUCGCGUUCUAUCAGCUAGUUGGUGGGGUAAAAGCCUACCAAGGCAACGACGGAUAGCUGGUCUGAGAGGACGAUCAGCCACACUGGGACUGAGACACGGCCCAGACUCCUACGGGAGGCUGCAGCAGGGAAUAUUGUGCAAUGAGCGAAAGCUUGACACAGCGACACCGCGUGUGGGAUGACGGUUCUAGGAUUGUAAACCACUUUCCAGGAGGGAAGAAAAUGACGGUACCUCCACAAGAAGACCCGGCCAACUAUGUGCC
rnacentral:rRNA from 1 species